rnacentral:rRNA from 1 species
GUCGUAACAAGGUUUCCGUAGGUGAACCUGCGGAAGGAUCAUUACUGAGGUUACCGGGGGUGAGUCGYGAGUGGCUUGAUGCUGGUGCCUUUCUCGGCGCAGGUGCACGGCCUCUCCUUCUUGCUCUCGUUCCUUUCUAUCAACCCCUGUGCACUAUAUUAGGAUUAGAGAGAAGCGCGUCGUAACACGAUAAACAUAACGUUAAUCAAACGRCGGCGUGUUGUACCUCGAGUUCCUUUAUUACAAACAACUAUCUAUGUCUUGUCAGAAUGUUCAGUCCCUCGUUGGACGCUAAAUGAAAUACAACUUUCAACAACGGAUCUCUUGGCUCUCGCAUCGAUGAAGAACGCAGCGAAAUGCGAUAAGUAAUGUGAAUUGCAGAAUUCAGUGAAUCAUCGAAUCUUUGAACGCACCUUGCGCCCUUUGGUAUUCCGAAGGGCACGCCUGUUUGAGUGUCAUGUUCAUCUCAAUCCAAUAGCUUUUGUUAGCUGUUUGGAUUGGAUUUGGGAGUCUGCUGGCCUCUCUGUAGGUCGGCUCUCCUUGAAUGCAUGAGUGAGCAUCUGGCUCGCGUUCGCUGGUGUGAUAGUCUAUCCAUCAUUGGCGACGCUUGUCUAACGGGCUUGCUUUCGAACCGUCUUCUCAUCGGAGACAACACUUGACAUAUUUGACCUCAAAUCAGGUGGGACUA